rnacentral:lncRNA from 1 species
CAACUGAGUAACAUGCUUUUCAAAAGUGUUUUUCUAUGUUUCAGAGACAGAAAAGGGGAGACAAAGAAGAAGAAAAAGGAGGGGAAAAGGUAAAAGAAAGGAAGAGAAUGAAUUGCAGCUGAGGAAGUGGAAGAGCGAGAAGCGCUUCCAGAUUCCAGGGACUUAUACCAUCAGAGUUCCUGGUUCUCAGGCCUUCGGACUCAAACCAGAGUUUACAACACUGGCUUUCCUGGGUCUCUCCUUCUCAGCUUCUCCAAGUUUCUCAAACUAAAGCCCGACUUUGGAUAGGUGAUACCAGGAAACAUGAAGAAGGCAAUGAGGAGAGUGAAGCAGUAGAGAAGCCCAGCCAGGGAAGGAGACAGGAGCAAGAUUCCAAUCUGAGCGAAGAGGCACCGCAUUCCACACCCUCAGAAGACUGGCUGGUCUUUAUUCUGUGGUAUAACUAGAAGCGGGGAAUUGAGUGGGGAGCUGGAAAUUACGCAUCUUGGAGGAAGGGCCAGUCAAAUUAGUUGGCCACGGACUCAUUGCUCAUGUAGAUUCUGGGGACGCAGUGUGGCAUAGUGGUUGAGAUGCAGGCUGUAGAGUUAGAUAGACGUGGUUCAGACCGAGGUAGGUUUGAGAUCUGUUUCACCAGUGUACCUUAUUUGGGAGCUUUGGGCUGUAAUCAAUAGAAAACCUAACCCAGAUGAGCUUAAACAAUAAGGAAAUGUAUUGACAGCUGGAAAUUCAAGUUUGGGUAACCUUCAGGGUCAGCUUCAUCCAGUGGCUCUUUUUUUUUUUUUUACCAUAUUUUCCUCCCUCAAAAAGUACAUGUACUUUUUUCUGUCUGCUUUGUUCCCAGGCUGGCUCCUCCCUUGGUGAUUGUGCAUGCAUGCCACCUUCCCAACAUCAGCCUUUUUCCUCUUCUGGGAGAUCCCAGAUUUUUUUUUUUCUUAUUGUAAAGACAAUAUAUGUUCAUUUUAAGAAUUUGUAAAAUAAAGAGAAUAAUACAUAAAAAUUAAAAUUAUCACUAAUUCUGCUAUUUUGAAAAAUCUCUGAUGAGCAUAUAUAUAUAUUUGACAUAUACUUGUGUAUAUCUUUAAGAUAUAUCUGUGUAUAUGCAUGUGUGUAAA